rnacentral:lncRNA from 1 species
ACACGGGGGCUGAAAGGCCCGGCUCCAGCACUCCUGUGGUCAUCAUCCUGCUGAAUCGCUUUGAACUACCCUUGGCCUAACCGCGACUCCCAUCCCGCUUCCCUCCUGCCUCGCCACUGCAGGCCUGUCCCUUUGCUUUCUUAAAACUGCGCACCGUCUGAGGCCACUUCGAGCCUACUGGAUCCCUGGUUCCAACCCAGUAGGAUCACAGAAGCAGGGCCAGCUGCCAGGCUUCUGCAAAAGACUUGAGACAGCUCACAAUGAAGUACUCUGUAUUAGGCAGGGUAAUAUUGAUUGCAAGUGACAGAAACCCAAUCAGAAACUCACUGGAGUCAUGAGGAACACUUAUUGGCUCAGAGUAAAGGCAAAAUAGACCUUCAGAGAAAUAAAGUCUGGGAAAUUGACUAGAUCCUCACUGAAAGAACUACUAAAGGAUGUACUUAUGGAAGAAGAAAAUUACAAAGUGAAAGAACUGGGAUGCAAGAAGUAAUGGUGAGCAUGGAAUUUGGCAAAGAUUCAAGUAAAACAAAGCAAGGACUGAGUAUAUAAAAUCAUAAUCAUAACAAAUUUUGACUAUUAUAUGUAACAGCCAAUCUCUUAACUGGGUCAUAAUAAGAAAGUGAAA